AAGUACCUACGGGGCGCAGCAGUGGGGGAUAUUGGACAAUGGGGGAAACCCUGAUCCAGCGAUGCCGCGUGAGGGAAGAAGGUUUUCGGAUUGUAAACCUCUGUGGACAGGGACGAUAAUGACGGUACCUGUCAAGAAAGCCACGGCUAACUACGUGCCAGCAGCCGCGGUAAUACGUAGGUGGCGAGCGUUGUCCGGAAUUAUUGGGUGUAAAGGGUGCGUAGACGGGAAUACAAGUUGGUUGUGAAAUCCCUUGGCUUAACUGAGGAACUGCAACCAAAACUAUAUUUCUUGAGUACUGGAGA
rnacentral:rRNA from 1 species